rnacentral:rRNA from 1 species
UACGGAGGGUGCAAGCGUUAUCCGGAUUCACUGGGUUUAAAGGGUGCGUAGGUGGGUUGGUAAGUCCGUGGUGAAAUCCCCGAGCUUAACUUGGGAACUGCCAUGGAUACUAUCAGCCCUGAAUGUCGUGGAGAUGAGCGGAAUAUGUCAUGUAGCGGUGAAAUGCUUAGAUAUGACAUAGAACACCUAUUGCGAAGGCAGCUUACUACGCCUAUAUUGACGCUGAGGCACGAAAGCGUGGGGAUCAAACAGG